CAAAUACAGAGCGAGAGAGAGAGAGCUAUUCCUACAGUAUAAUACCUCAUACUGGCUGUGACUGCAGUAAUUACAAGCACAGCGACUUUCUGGUGUCUCUGACCGUUGCCAGGCGUACUCAUAGUGACACUGAGGGGUCUAGGACGUCACUUCCCCCCGCCAAGGAACAGACGAGCAUGUAAUUCUAUACUAGCCUGCCUGUGGAGCUCUCGUUCCUGGAUGAACCAGCCAAACAUCUGGGUCUCCAUGAAGACCUCCAGGAACCGGCGCACUGUCUUAGACGGGAUCGCUUUACGGAAACCCUCGCGUUGGAAGUAGCAGGGGACCGGGGAGGAGGAAGAGGAGGAGGAGUAGCCGUCCUCCCGUUCACCGGUGAUGAAGAGUGGAUAGUGGCCUACCAGCUCCACGAAGAAACGAACGAAGGCCUCGGACACGACGGUGCUAAGAUGGCCCGAAUCUGCACAGAAGAGGAUAAACGAAGCAAGCUCUCGUCUCCUCUCCAGAACAUUCUCCAGGGCUGAUUGGAGCUUAGAUGGCAGAAUGGAGUCUUCAUCGUCCAACUAAAUGGGACAAAUGGCGAAUCGAAAAUUCAUUUUGAAGUACACUAAGGAUUCAAUAAUUUGGUCCACAUCCAUAAGUGUCAUGAAGUACCAUAAAAACGUGCACAAAUAUAAUUCAACCCUUGGCCUACCUGUCUGAGAAAUCGACUGUUUUCAAGAUCCACAACCAGAACCUGUACACAUAAAUGUUUUAAUGGUUAUUGUUUGACAA